rnacentral:lncRNA from 1 species
CUUUUUUCUCAUUUAAUGCUAAUAUUGAAUACCAGGCUGGAAAAAAGGUUCACCAAAAUUCCAUAGUCUUUCCAUCCAAGGUGCAAGAAUAGGUAAAAAUGCAUGUGGGGGGUGUUGCCGUUCGGGAGCCAAAGUCUGGCUUUCUUUUACCUAUUGCCAGGAAAAGAAAGCAGCCCGAUUUCUUAGACAUCAAGUGCACAUUUGUCACCGUCAGACGAGCCCACAGAUUCCCUGCUCCUUUAUGAGCCCUGAUUCUUUGUACCGGGGUGGCACGGGGGAGCUCGCUCGCAUCUGGUGCUGUACACACGCCGAAUGGAAAGCCGGUCCACCUAUGUCGGGGGUGGCGGUUCUCUUGCAGCCGAAAAGACGAUUUUUUUUUUUCUUUCUGUACCAGAAAAGAUCUGCCUUCUGCGAUGACAUCAUCAGUCUGGGGAAGGACUUUUAUAGCCUGCCCCUGUCCAUGCUGCCUCCAAGCUGCUCUCUUAUUACUGCUCACUUCCUGAAAGGAGACCUUUUAGCAAAGCCUCCAGCUCUUGAGCUGCCUGAGUCUGACAGGAGAAGGCUAUUCUACCGUGACUUGAAGACAGGCAACGCACACCCUCAGCCUGGAAAAUUUCUGACACACACAAGACCGAGGGAGAGGGAGCGAGAGAGAGAGAGAAGCUUUUGGCAGCUGCUGGGAAAAAAAGAAAAGAGGCUUAAAGAAUAAAAGAGAGAAAGGAGGAGGAGGAGGAGGAAGCAUCUAGCAAAGGUAAAACAUUUUCUUUAAAAAAAAAAAAAAACAACCUUGGCAGAGAAAAGGCAGAGAGGUUGGGAUUGGGGUGGCUUGGAGCAGGGGCUUAUGCAAAUGUUCAUCGAACUGAAAGCUGUCUCGGUCUAUCGAAGGAAUGAGGCUGAGGGAUCCUGCAGGCUGGAAAAAAACAUUUCUGAGAAUGAAAACCAUGUUCACCCUUCUCCGAGGAUCAGACUUUCCAUAAAAACGCAGGGUUGUGUUUCAAAGCGUCCGCAGGCAAGAGGACUCAGGCUGGGUUUUGCUCGCUUUCGCCCUUCCUUCCUCCACCUCCUCCUCUCCCCCACACCGGUCCGCUUCUUUUCUUGUGUCGAGCCAUGCGAUGGCAUGGCUGUGCUUCUAAAAUGGGAUCGCCGCUUGAAAAGCAGCUAUGGGGGAAGCUGUUAAUUAAGACAAGCCAGCGCUAUAAUCCCUGCUGCAGAAUUAUAUGUUCUUUGCUGCCCUCAUUCCUGCGAAUAAACACACGUUGCACUCCCUCGCGAU